GCCGGGCACAGUGGUGUGUGCCUGUAGUCCCAGCUACUUGGGAGGCUGAGGUGGGAGGAUUGCUUGAGCCCAGGAGUUCUGGGCUGUAGUGCGCUAUGCCAAUCGGGUGUCUGCACUAAGUUCGGCAUCAAUAUGGUGACCUCCUGGGAGCAGGGGACCACCAGGUUUCCUAAGGAGGGGUGAACCGGCCCAGGCCGGAAAUGGAGCAGGUCAAAACUCACGUGCUGAUCAGUAGUGGGAUCGCGCCUGUGAUCCACUGCACUCCAGCCUGGGGGACAUAGCGAGACCCCCAUCUCU
rnacentral:SRP_RNA from 1 species